AUACGGAGGGUCCAAGCGUUAUCCGGAAUCAUUGGGUUUAAAGGGUCCGCAGGCGGUCAAUUAAGUCAGAGGUGAAAGCCCAUCGCUCAACGAUGGAACUGCCUUUGAUACUGGUUGACUUGAGUUAUACGGAAGUAGAUAGAAUAAGUAGUGUAGCGGUGAAAUGCAUAGAUAUUACUUAGAAUACCGAUUGCGAAGGCAGUCUACUACGUAUAUACUGACGCUGAGGGACGAAAGCGUGGGGAGCGAACAGGAUUAGAAACCCUUGAGUCC
rnacentral:rRNA from 1 species